AUUGAACGCUGGCGGCAGGCCUAACACAUGCAAGUCGAGCGAGCGGCGGACGGGUGAGUAAGGCCUAGGAAUCUGCCUGGUAGUGGGGGAUAACGUCCGGAAACGGUAGCUAAUACCGCAUACCAUCCGAUGUGCCCAGGUGGGGGUGGCGUGUUGGUGGGGUAACGGCUCACCAAGGCGGCGAUCCCUCGCUGGUCGGAGAGGAUGACCAGCCACACUGGAACUUAGGAACGGUCCAGCCUCCUACGGGAGGCAGCAGUGGGGAAUAUUGCACAAUGGGCGCAAGCCUGAUGCAGCCAUGCCGCGUGUCUGAAGAAGGCCUUCGGGUUGUAAGGUACUUUCAGCGGGGCGGCGUUACCCGCAGAAGAAGCACCGGCUAACUCCGUGCCAGCCGCCGCGGUAAUUC
rnacentral:rRNA from 1 species